rnacentral:rRNA from 1 species
GACGAACGCUGGCGGCAUGCCUAACACAUGCAAGUCGAACGAAAACACCGGGAGUUCUUUCCCCCGGGGGUGGCACCGGGCGGAAGAUUCACUUAGGGUUGGGAUAACUCCCCGAAAGGGGUGAUAAUAACGGAUCAUUUCUUCGGACCCAAGAUAUAUCCUCCUUGGAUGGGCACGCGUGGGAUUAGAUUGUUGGUAGGGGAAAAGCCUACCCAGGGGACGAUCCAUAGCUGGUUAGAGAGGAUGAUCAGCAACACCGGGACUGGGACACGGCCGAGACUCCUACGGGAGGGAGCAGAGGGGAAUAUUGGACAAGGGGCGAAGGCCUGAUCCUGUAAUGCCGCGUGAGUGAUGAAGGCCUUAGAGUUGUAAAGCUCUUUUACCCGGGAUGAUAAUGACAGUACCGAGAGAAUAAGCUCCGGCUAACUCCGUG